rnacentral:lncRNA from 1 species
GCCCGGAGAAGCCACUCGGCUCCGAACCCCGGCCCGCGCAGACAACUGCGGCGCCUUACCUCCGGCCCCGAGCCCGAGCCCGGCCGCCCCGCCUGCGCCGAGCACAGCGGGGGCCCGCGGGGGUCUGAGAACCGCACAGCCCGGGGGACCCCGGGCGGCCCCGCAGCAGCGCCCGCGGGAGCGGGGGAGCGCGCGCCCGUCCUGCAGCGCCUUCCCUUCGCGUUACCACGGCGACGCGCGCGCACGCGUCCCCAGCGAGGGGCGGGCCGCGCGCUCUGCCCCCUCCCUGCACGGCCCCCGGCGCCGCUCCCUGCCCAGCUCAAGGCUCCCCGCGCGGUGGAAGAGGUCCUUUCCUGUCUCCAUGAUCCCAGACGGCCUGCGACAGGAGCCUCUUUCUAAUGCCCAGAAGAGGGUGGUUCAAGGAAGCUAUGAGCGCACCACCCAAGUUAAAGAAGAUCCUUUGCGAAUGUGUCUGCGGAACGAAGACACCCCCAUGCACAGUGUACAAGAAAGACCAGAAUUGCCCUAUUUUGAAGAUGGGAGAAACAGGUCUAGCAAGCUUCAAGUAUAUUCUAUAUCAGUGGCAAAGAUGGUGUUUAGCCUACUGAAAUAAAUACGAGAUUCUGAGUUGGCAUUUCCUUAAGGGAAGUAAGGUACUCAGAGCUACUAUGCUGGAAAAAUUU